UGAGGAAUUUUGCGCAAUGGGAGCAAUCCUGACGCAGCAACGCCGCGUGGGUGAUGAAGGCCUUCGGGUCGUAAAGCACUGUCAGGUGGGAAGAAUGUCCCGGGACUGAACAGGUUCCGGGAGUGACGGUACCACCAGAGGAAGCACCGGCUAACUACGUGCCAGCAGCCGCGGUAAUACGGAGGGUGAAAGCGUUCUUCGGAAUUACUGGGCGUAAAGCGCGUGUAGGCGGUCCUGCAAGUCUGAUGUGAAAGCCCCGGGCUUAACCCGGUAAGUGCAUUGGAAACUGUUGGACUUUAGUACUGGAUAGGAUGGGGGAAUUCCCGGUGUAGAGGUGAAAUUCUUAGAGAUCGGGAGGAAUAUCAGUGGCGAAGGCGCCCAUCUGGACGGUAACUGACGCUGAGACGCGAAAGCGUGGGGAGCAAACA
rnacentral:rRNA from 1 species